GGGCCCGCACAAGCGGUGGAGUAUGUGGUUUAAUUCGAUGCAACGCGAAGAACCUUACCAGGGUUUGACAUCCUGCGAAUCUCUUGGAAACAGGAGAGUGCCUUCGGGAACGCAGUGACAGGUGGUGCAUGGCUGUCGUCAGCUCGUGUCGUGAGGUGUCAGGUUAAGUCCUAUAACGAGCGCAACCCCUGUCGUUAGUUGCCAGCAUUUAGUUGGGCACUCUAGAGAGACCGCCGGUGAUAAACCGGAGGAAGGUGUGGAUGACGUCAAGUCAUCAUGCCCCUUACAUCCUGGGCUACACACGUACUACAAUGCUACGGACAAAGGGCUGCAAGUUCGCGAGGACAAGCAAAUCCCAUAAACCGUGGCUCAGUUCAGAUCGUAGGCUGCAACUCGCCUACGUGAAGGCGGAAUCGCUAGUAAUCG
rnacentral:rRNA from 1 species